rnacentral:sRNA from 1 species
GCAAUGUCAUGAUUUUAAGGUUGUGUAUUUAAACUCUCAUCAUUAUGAUUUU